rnacentral:rRNA from 1 species
AGUGGAUGGGGAGCAACCUAGUUGUGCGUGUGUAAAGGUAGUGCCAAGAAAAGCGAUGAUCAUGUUGAAAAUCAAUUCCCGGUACCCGAAACCGACACAGGUGGGCAAGUAGAGAAUACUAAGGGGCGCGAGGUAACUCUCUCCAAGGAACUCGGCAAAAUGACCCCGUAACUUAGGGAGAAGGGGUGCCACCGAGAGGUGGUCGCAGUGAAGAGGCCCAGGCGACUGUUUAGCAAAAACAUAGGUCUCUGCAAACUCGAAAGAGGAGGUAUAGGGGCUGACGCCUGCCCAGUGCCGGAAGGUUAAAGAAGUUGGUCAGUUUUAGGAUGAAGCUAGCGACUGAAGCCCCGGUGAACGGCGGCCGUAACUAUAACGGUCCUAAGGUAGCGAAAUUCCUUGUCGGGUAAGUUCCGACCCGCACGAAAGGCGUAACGAUCUGGGCGCUGUCUCGGAGAGAGGCUCGGCGAAAUAGGAUUGUCUGUGAAGAUACGGACUACCUGCAUUUGGACAGAAAGACCCUAUGAAGCUUUACUAUAGCUUGGAAUUGUGUUCGGGCUUCCUGUGCGCAGGAUAGGUGGGAGGCGUAGAAGGUAUUCUUGUGGGGAUACUGGAGCCAACGGUGAGAUACCACUCUCAGGAGGCUAGAAUUCUAACUUAAUUAAGGACAGUUUCAGGUGGGUAGUUUGACUGGGGCGGUCGCCUCCAAAAAGGUAACGGAGGCGUACAAAGGUUCCCUCAGACUGGUUGGAAAUCAGUCGAAGAGUGCAAAGGCAGAAGGGAGCUUGACUGCGAGAAGUACAGUUCGAGCAGGGUGGAAACACGGUCUUAGUGAUCCGACGGUGCUGUGUGGAAGGGCCGUCGCUCAACGGAUAAAAGUUACUCUAGGAUAACAGGCUGAUCUCCCCCAAGAGUUCACAUCGACGGGGAGGUUUGGCACCUCGAUGUCGGCUCACCGCAACCUGGGGCGGAAGUACGUCCCAAGGGUUGGGCUGUUCGCCCAUUAAAGCGGUACGUGAGCUGGGUUCAGAACGUCGUGAGACAGUUCGGUCCAUAUCCGAUGUAGGCGUGAGAAUAUUGAGAGGAGCCUUCCUUAGUACGAGAGGACCGGGAAGGACGCACCGCUGGUGUACCUGUUAUGAUGCCAAUUGUAAACGCAGGGUAGCCAAGUGCGGAGAGGAUAACCGCUGAAAGCAUCUAAGUGGGAAGCCCACCUCAAGAUGAGUAUUCUGGUGUAAGGUCACGGGAAGACGACCCGUAAAUAGGCACGAGGUGGAAGUGCAGAGAUGUAUGAAGCCGAAGUGUACUAAUAGACCGUCGGCUUGAGC